rnacentral:rRNA from 1 species
UACGCAGGGACCGAGCGUUGUCCGGAAUCAUUGGGCGUAAAGAGCGUGUAGGCGGCCACUUAAGUCCUGCGUGAAAUCUUGCGGCUCAACCGCAAGCGGUCGUGGGAAACUGGGUGGCUAGGGUGCGGGAGAGGAGAGUGGAAUUCCUGGUGUAGCGGUGGAAUGCGCAGAUAUCAGGAAGAACACCCGUGGCGAAGGCGGCUCUCUGGAACGCAACUGACGCUGAGACGCGAAAGCGUGGGGAGCAAACAGG